rnacentral:piRNA from 1 species
UAUUUAACCAUGAAGUAAGAGAAGCUGUGU